GCAAGUCGAACGCGAACGGGCUUCGGCCCAAGUAGAGUGGCGGACGGGUGAGUAAUGCGUGGGAAUCUACCCUCGAGCGGGGGACAACCCGGGGAAACCCGGGCUAAUACCGCAUACGUCCUACGGGAGAAAGCGGGCCUCUACACUAUGCUCGCACUCGAGGAUGAGCCCACGUCCGAUUAGCUAGUUGGUAGGGUAACGGCCUACCAAGGCCACGAUCGGUAGCUGGUCUGAGAGGAUGAUC
rnacentral:rRNA from 1 species